GGGUUAAAUCGGCCGGCGUCAUUUGAAAUCCCCAGGUCCUGGUACGAGCACCAAACUUCCCCUAGCCCCUUCUCCCAUUGCGAGAUCUCCUCUCUCUCUCUCUACCCCCUCGAUCCUCGAUCCUCGAUCCUCGAUCCUCGAUCCUCGAUCCUCGUCGUCGCCGACGACUAUACCGUCGGAGGUGGCCGUCGGCGGCAAUUUUUGGGUCUUUCUGGAGCCCUACGCUCGCAAUGAGGCCGUCUAGUACCUCUGUGACAAUUGCGUAGCGGUCGAUCUCUCCUAUUGGAUCGGCCAGCACGACGCCGUCACGCCGUCAUCCGAAGCCGGAGAUGUCAUCUCCGGAAUCCUCACCUGCGCAGCACCGUCUCCCUCUUCUCCAAGAUGGGAGCUCAUUUGGUGUUUGUGGUGGAGGAGGAGGAGUCUCCAUCUAAGUCGCGGGUAAGGAUCGAGCGUUUCUUCCAGAUGUCGAGCUUCAAUCCCUCGGAGCUGCCGAAACCCGAAUGCGAUGGGUAAUAGGGGACCCCUGUGAGCUCUAGUGCAGUCUUCUAUCCUAAGAUGUUUGGCACCAUUUUAUCAGGAAUCACGCGAGCCCUAUAAUUAUCAGAUAUUGUAAAGCUUCUGGCUCGCAAUGACCAUGAUUUACAUGGUGUUCCUGGGUUUGAGAUUGAUGCUGCUGUUUGCUUUGUGAAGCUGUAUUCUAAUAAUGAGACUUUAGAUCUGUUUUCCCUAAUUGGGAAUGGGGAUUCAAAUAUAGUAAAUGGAAUUAAAAAGUUGCCCACAACUGUUUGAUUUCCAUGUGCAAUCGGAGAAAAUGAAAUUUGAAGACAGAUGGCUUUCUCAUGCAAUUCUGUGAACUAUUUGUCCCACAAUGCUUACAAGCUCUUUGGCUGCGUGGAUGACCACAUUUAGCAUCUGAAUUCCUUUACAGGUUUGGAACUUUAUAGUUUCUGGAUUAUCCAUCGAUUCCUGCUUUUUCACAUUAUGCCUGUAUCUUGCUAUUUCUGAACUCCUUUCAGACUCGUAUUCUAUGUUUUAGUGUUGUGAUCUAAGGCAUAAUGUUAGAGCAUCUCCAAUGGGAGGUUUUUAUGAGCUCUUUAACUUUCACUAUGAAGUGUCAAUGAAUAAUAAGAAAUGGGGAUCAAUAUUGCGGACCGUUUCUUAAUCUCUUUCUUCUGUUUUUUGAUGGGGCUACAAAAAAAAGCUCCUUUCCAUUGUGGAUGCCCUUAGGACAGAGCUUUUUUAUGGCCCCCCACCAAAAAAAAGAAGGGAAAGAUUAAGAAGCGGAUCUGAAAUAUUGAACCCCGCUUUUUAAUAUUCAUUGACACACCGUUAAAGAGCUCAUAAAAACCUCCUGAUGGAGAUGCUCUUAGCCUCUUUCCGUGUCUUAUCAGAGUAGGAUGAUUCUGAGAGAGAAAAUGGUCAAUUUGGAAAACUCUAGAUGAGAUGGCGGCGACAAUAAGUGAGAUGGAUGGAUGGAUUACGAUGGAGAGACUUACAGUUUUCCAGAAUAGUAGAGAUGUAUGUACUCAAUUGUAUCAGAAAACACUGUGAUUACAGAAAAAGAUGAAGUGUGGAACAGCAGUCAUGGUGUCUGAUCUCUCCAUAAGGCCAUACCUGGAUAGUGAACACUGGAUGACUUAGUGUUCACUCAGGCUGAACAUCCCAUGCCUCGCCCUUGCCGCACGGCAAAAUUAAACCUGUGCAUCGCAUGGUCGGGUGAGUUUUACCCUCAAUGCUCACAUCGCAAGCGGCCGGGAUUAGAUAUGCAAGAUGAUUUGUCUGGAUCUUUGAUGUUCUGAAGACAAUAUCUAUACUUGAUCGUUGUUGUUUGGAACAGCGAUGUGGUGGAACGUUUGAUGAGCAAAUAAUGGUCCGAUUUAGAAAUUUGAACCAUUGCUGUUGAUUUGGAUUGAGUGGGGCUGGUUGAAUUUCUGAUGAUUAAUUGGGCCGUGUAUGUAUUUUUUAUUGGGCUUCGAAUAAGCCGAUCAUGGGCUGUGACUUGUAAUAGCUGGUCAUUCAAUAAGGUUAAUCAGCGACAGCGCCCUAAGUAACAUGGGGGCUUCCAUGGACUGUUUUCAUCAGUUACCAAAAUAAAUGGUCAUGUGCCAUUUUCUGAGCCA